UGCAUUUCAGUCUGAGAGGGAGCUUUCGAGGUUGGGUUUGGGGUGCAGAGGAUACCAGCAGACCUCUGGGAGUUGCAUUGUGUGCUUAAAGCAAAAUGAGAGGAAGAGGAGUGAAUGGCAUCUGACUGUGAAAAGGAAAAACCCCCAAAAAGCGAGAGUCACCUUGUGGGAAGGAGACAAAGGCUCUGCUGCUGCAUUUCUUGGGGUGUAAGUGAUAAAUGAUUAGGGACAGCUGUUAAAGCUUGAAGCUUCUAAAUCUGUUCUGGUGGUCAUUAAUAUGGUAUUUCACCAUUAAAUAGCUCCAUGAUCUGCAGUCGCUUCCUGUUUUCUGCUGCAGAGUCACAGAAGAAGCCAUAAAUAUGAAAAGCACAGUGCCUGAACAAGGCAAAGGACAAAAAAGGUGAGCAUCCUGCCUCAGCUCACUGCAGCAUGAGAGUAUUGGGUGGGUGCUUACCCCAAUUUCAACACUUACAGGUGAGUAGGAAAUAUUUUCUCUGGGCAAUUUAUUUCUUUGAUACCUUCAUUCCUUACUAUCCAAUGUGUGUCAUUUAUUUUGCCUACUUUCUCAGGAAAAGACUUGUACAAUUUAUGUGGUUAAAUAGAAUCGUGAUCCAAGUAUUUUGAUUUACUUUUUUUAAAAUAAAAAAUAAUUGAAAAACAAUCAGUGUUCCAGAUGAAUAUCAACAAUGUAAAUUACAACAGUAGACAUUCAAACAUUAUCAAAGGCCUGCAACUUUUUGAAUUUCUAGCUGGGUUUUGACUACCACUCUCCUGUUCCAAUGUCUGUCUCCAGAGUCAAAAUUUUUGUAUCUUUUUAUUUUUUUUCAAGCUGACUCCCACCCUCAAGGUCUCUUAAUAUUCCUUUUCUUGCAUUCUAAUCUGGCUGAUGGUCAACCUAAGGAAUCUUCAUCAUUGCUAAUUUCCUCCCUGCACUAUGAGCUUUUGGGUGAGGCCUUCUUAGACAGCUGAAGGUCUUACACUGACCCAAGUUAUGUCAAGGUUGCUCUCUUGACUGCUGUCCAUUAGCAUCCCUGUGGGGAUCAUCUGCCCUCAGACUGGUACCUGCCCCAUUUUUGUCACUGAGGCUUUGUUGCUCCACCUGUGGCAGUGGUGCUCAGGUUUAUCUGAUUUGUGUCCCUACUACUAGAACUUUGUCUCUCUGGUGCUGUUUCUGAAGUUUAAUGUUCUGAUUAUUAUAUGAGCUGUUUAUUUGCUAAUUUUGUAUGUAUGCAUCCCUAUUGGAAACCUCGGGGACUUGUCUAACUUUCAGUUCACCUACUCGAGAGUGCCUAGCUGGGGUGGCCUGGGCUGCUUUUUCACACCUCUAUGCAGCGAGGGAAGUCUCUCACUGUCUUUUGUGCCACAGGCACAUCCCAAAGCUCAGCAGGGUCACACUAUGCCUUUGAAGCGAGGAUUUAAAACAACUGAGGCCGCUUUUCCUCCAUUUUGAGCUUCACUGAUGAAAACAGUAGCAAUAACUAAAGCACCCUGAGCUCAGAGUGUUGCAAUAUUUGCCCUCCCAGUCUGCACAAGUGCAACUGCAGCAUCUCCCUGCCUGCCUUCAGCAACUGUGCCUCUCCACCUCUGGUAUGUUCCCAAGCUCUUCUCCAGAGAGCUUUCUAUGAUGCAAAGAGGUCAAUAAUACAAAUAAUUAAUGUCAAGUGGCUGUCAAUAGAUACUAGGUCUAAAAACAUAGCACGUGUAAACCCAUAUUAAUUAAUUGCAUCCCACUCUGAAAUUUGAACAGUAAGCAAAUUAGGAGGGAUAGUAUGGUGAUAAUGAUCAAUGCUUAUUUUUUCUGGGGAUACGUUGAGAAGCAGAGCAGCUUUGGCACAGCUAAGUCCUUCCUGGAGUUGGUUUAUCUCUCCCCUUCUUCUGAAAUUGAAUUUUUAAAUAUUUGGUUGUUAAGGGUAUAAUGCCUACUUUACAGAAAGUUGAGGUGCUCAAUCACAAUAUUAAAAAUUCCUUUAAUGUAUUUAUUUAAAAUACAAAACCAGAAAUUACGUAGGAAAGCAUCAAAGGAGAAAUUAUAUUUUUAUCUUGACACACAGAUUGCUUUUUCAUGUGAUCUGAUCCACAUUCUUGCUAUUUAUAUUUCAUACUUAAUCCUUGCAUCUGGUGCAUUUAGUCAAAUCCAAUCCUCUGCUCUCAGAAGCAUUUCAGCAUCUUCUGAACAAGACGGAGGAGCAGGGAUCUCAUCCUGGCACACACAGGCCUUGAAGGGGGUAAUAGCAAACAAGACGUGUCAGUCAGACCAAGUCUCCAACACCACCAUGCUAAAAAGAGCCCAUAUGAAAGAUUUUUUUAUAUAGACAUAUCAGUAUUUGUGGAAUGGAAGCUAUUGGGGUUUUUUCUCUGAUAUUUGGAGGGCCGAUACCUGAUAGUGUCAGGUUCUCUAUGUUUCAAAGUUUUUUUUGCAAAUGGAACAGUGGAGGAAAGAGCUACAGGAAUAAAAGAUAUAGAAAGGCCCUGUUUUUUAAUAUAUAAAAUAAUCUCACUGGAAUGAACAAGGAGGAGACAAAUAGGGAAACAGAGUAACAUAUUUUUACCUUUAGAAUAAUACAGUUCUUUGCUCAGGUGUAGAAAGUUUUCAAUACAAGUUUUUUUCUUUGCACACUCAAUCUGACCCAAGUCCAGGCUGCUGCCCACACCAGUCUUUGUCUCUCCUGCUGAUUCCCUGCCAAUAGUUUCAGGACCCAGCGAUAGUGCAGUGAAAACAAUCUCCCUUCUGAGGGCAGUUUCUCAGAGGGGCAGGUGACCGUGAACAUCGGUGCAGUUACGAGGAGCUGAUGCAGUGCGAGGAAUCUGGAAGGGAGCAGGGUGGAGAAGCCAGGGGGAGGGAGAGCCCGGCAUUGUGCUGCCCAGCGACCACCCUGCACUGGAUUGGGGCAGGGGGUGCAUCACCUGAAGCUCUUCCCUUACCUAACAGCGAGCAUCACUUCCUAGGAGCAGGAACAGUUGGCUGGGUGAGAGCUGGCUUUUCAUCACAUAAGUGCCUGUCUGGAGGACACCCUCCUCCCAAGGCAGAAGCUAUCCAAGUUCAGCAGCUAAGGAGAGAGGAAGUGAUGAGGGGUGGGAUCCUGCUGCCUGGCCAUAAGCAUGAAGGAGUAUGUGAAAUACCACGUUCAAGCACACAAAUCUUGUUCCAAGGAACAGUGCUUUGUGAGAGGAAGGGCUGGGAAUCACCACAGAUUUUCCCAUGCAUCCUCCUCAUGUUCUUCCUUUGAACUCCUUGGCUUCUGCAGAGGAAAGGAGUCAUGGCAGAUAUCCAAGAACAGCAUUUUCUCAGCUAGCAUCACUGUGAGAAGCUGAUAGGUGAACACCUCCUAUCUGGGGGAGGAAAAACGUAAAGGAAGAGCAGGGAGAGGAAAAGAGACAAUAUCUAAAAGUGGUUAAGAGUUAAGGAGCCUGCCUCUUAGGUGCCACUGAACUGAAAGUAGCAAGAAAAGUUCUCCAAACCAAGAUCUUAACUUUGGUCAUGUUGAAUAUUCUUCCAGCCAAGUAGCACAAUUUGUUGAGCACAACAAUUUCUCACAGACUACUCUGUGGAGUCCCUUUGGAUGCUGAGAAACUGAGCAGUUUUUCCUCAGUCUCUGAUGGAGUAGCCAGUGUUAUCAAAACAUGGUGAGCUGCAGUAAUUCCUACAAUUAUUCAUGACUGAUUUAUCACUUGAUUUUAGGAAUUCAGUUUAAAUAGAUUUUUUUUCCAUCUCCCCUGCUCCCUAAUUGAUUAUUUUUUUGAAUGCUGAACCUUUGAGUUUCUCUCAUAAAAUAGAUUAGAGUCAUUAUAGCUGUGUGCUUUUUAAUCAUUCUGCACUAUAAUUACUGUUUCUACUGUUGUCUUCUGGUUUACACUGUUUCUUUAUUAGCAGCUUUCAUUGCCAGAAGCUUUAAACAUUUAAUAAUCUGUCAAGGUGGUAAUUCGUUGGGGUUUUGUUUUUUAUUUUUUACUUGAAGACCUUUUCAGUGAUAUCUUCAAGCACCUGGUCUGCCCAGAUGCUUUAAUAUUCACUUAUCUCUGUCUGGUUGGCCUCGUGUUGUUUUUAAUUGCCCUUCUUCUGGAUAACCAAAGUUACCCAUUCAUCAUACAGAGAAUGUAAGUAAGUCACAUGUGACUGUAUCAGGCAGUAGGAAAACAGACCCUCCAGAAACAGUAAUGAGGCUGAUGGCCAGAGAUGACACAUGGGCUGUCUGUUGGCACUAGCAAAAGAACUUUCUUGCAGCCUGAUACAGCAUUCACAGUAAAUGCAGACUGUGGUGAUUUUCGUAAUAUGGAGGGAUUACACCACCAUUUCCUGGUUUUAAUGUUUUUUGGGAUUUUCAUUUAGGGUCCCUGCAGGAAUACAGCCAUUCUUCUCCCCAGGCUCCCAUAGGCUUUUCCUAUACAGCAUGCCAGCAUGGAGCAGCUUGCCUUUCUCAAAUGCCAGGUGAAGCCAGAGAAUUUAAAGGCAAAAGGCUGUUGGGUUGCAAUUCUUGCUGACCUGAGUGUAAGUUGCAGGGCUGCGGCUCCCCAAGGAGUCCUGUAGGGCUGUUCCUCAGCAGCUGGUGUGUCCAUCAGCUUUCCCUCAUCGCUGAUGGGCCUCACUGUUGAAUGAUGGCAGAUUGCAGCAAUGAGGACAGCAGUCUCCUCUGGGGCCAGAGCCGUGAGCUGCAGCACUGCCCAGUUCUCAUGGAGUGCACAGCCAGGACACCCUGUGUCCCACUGGGACAAGGCACGGGUGGCUCUGCUGCAGCAGCUGCUCCUUACCCAAAGUGCCUGCUGGAGCUGUCAGCCUGGCUUCUGCAUGUAGCCCUGUGCCCCCACCAUGGGCAUGGGGUCUCAGAGCUGGGGCAGCACACUGCAAGGCAGCUUUUCCCGUGUCCAUGAGGUGGUCAGAGCCUGGACAGCAUCAGAAAGGGCUGAAGGACAUGAACAGUUUGGUAUAAAUUACUGAGACAGGUGACAUGGUGGCCUGUUGGUAGGUAAAGGACUGUGGUGGUAAGAAAAUGCUCAAUUCUCCCCAUCCUCAGGGGGAGUGGGUUUCCCAGCACUAGAAGUAAAACUAAAACUUCUCGGUGAGGAAAGAUGGUGGAGGUUGGAAGCAGAAUUCCCGGGGACCUGGCGGCAUUUCAGCUGCUGGUGAUUUCAAAAGAGUGCAUGUGACACAAGACUGUCAAACUGACACACAUAGGAUGGGAUCCUCUCUUCUGGCAGGGCAACAGGUCAGGCUGCCUCUUAGUUCUCUUCCUCCUCCCGCUUUCUGUGUGUGGAAGUGCAAGCCAGAGGGAACAGAAAUGCUGGGAUUUGCACAUGCUGCUUUCCCCUAAAGAUGAAAACAAAAACACAGAGUAAAAGUCGGGUUGUGAUUUUGACGUACAUAGAAAAGAAAAAAAUCCAAAGGAAGAGAGCAAUCAUUUAUGACUAAAAAGAGAGUCAAGAAUUACUUUUGAAAAAUAAGAUAUUUACUUAUAUUUUAAAUAACUUCUUACAGAUUUAUAUUUUCUUCACUUUAUAGCUGUGUGCUGGGGAAAUGGUUACUUUACUUUUUCCUAGCAUUCCUUCAACCACUUUGAGGUAAGUUUUUUCAUUAAUGGAAAUGACUGUCUGCAUUUCUUUUAGCACUUUGUCUGUGCCUUAUUUCAUUUUGUCAGAGAAAAGUGUCAGAUAUUAAUUCUUGGGGUUUUUCUUGUCUAUAUGAUAAUCCAGACAAGAUUCUGACAAUUUUCAGUACAAUAGCCUCCUCUCAGGAAAGCUUUGAUUGCACUAAAACAUACUCUGAAGUGCUAAUCUCUUAACCUUCUAGAGUUCAUUAUUUGGACAGAUAAAAAUUGAGUUUAAAAUGACCUAAAAGGUCUUCUUGCCAAGAUAUAAUCUAGUUAAAAUUUUCUCAAAUUGAAUUAUGUGGACUGUAUACCAUGUAUUGAUUAAAGAAAUCUUCUUAAUGUAGUCAUAUAAUAAGACUCUUGACAUAUUUUUUUUUUCUCCUUUGAUGGAGUUGGUUUUUAACAGAAACUUCAGCAUUUUGUUUUGUAAAACUGUCACCAUAUUGAUGUCUGCUUAGCUGGACAAGGCUCUGACCUCUGGACCAAUUCUACAUUUGAGGAGAACACAACUGCAAAAUUAUCUAGUCCAGUGCCACUUGUGAAUAAAUUUCUCAUGUUACACUGAUAAGAAGAAGCUGAAGGCUGCUUUGGAUUACAUCCUGAAGGACCGAUGCUGUGGCCUUAGUUCAAGAUGCAUCCUUUGCACUUUUACAAUAGAAAUUUUGGAAAUAUAUUUUGAACCAACCUCUGGUCAAAGAGGAAGAGGCCUGAGGUGUUGCAAGAGGGAAGCACGGCAGUUUGCAGCAGCAGGUCCUUUGCUCCCAGGUUGCAGCCUGAUUGGUGGUGCUGGUAAGUUAUACAAGUCACAAACUUCAAAUGUCACCAUUGUCCAGCCACAUCUGCACUGUCACGAGUGGCAAAACGACAAAAGAAGUGGAUAUAUUCAUGGUAUCUCUUGCUUCUGUUUUGCACCCAUACUGUAAAAUGUUCAAUUCUAUUAGUUCUUAUUUAAACAAUUUCUCACUUCAGAAAAAGCAAACACGUUACCGACAUAAUACAUUGCCUUGCACCUCUAGUUUGGACAGAAGAGAUGCAUGAGUAAGUACUUGAGCAGAUGUAAAAGCAUUGCUAAAGAAAUGGACCCUUAUGACGAUCUAAUUUCAAUUUUGGGGCAAGUUAAUGUGUUGGCUUUGGGAUUACUUUUUUUUUUCUUCUGAAUGUAUUUUUUCCCGUAAUGCCAAUAAACUGCAAACAGGAUGAUGGAAAAGAAACUGCAUUGUGAGUCAUAAAAAGGAUUAUUGACUAAAUACCAGUUGUAGGAUCUACACUGCCAAUGUGUAAGCCAGAAAGCAUGUCUUGACUGUACAAUUUUAUUUCUAUUUUCAAAGCAGCAGCAGUUAAAAAAAUCAUUAUCACUUGCGUCUGAGCUGAUCAUGUUUGAUUUGGAUGUCACUGGGAUGCAAUAAACAGGAGACCCCAGGGUGCCAUUUUACUAAGACAGUUUUCAGAGAGGAACCACAGUUUCUGCAGCAAAGCACUGCUGAUUUACAUGGAUUUUCUUGUCACAUGUUUUGGCAAAAUGUAUCAGCUUGUGCUUCUUAGCAUCAACAAAUAAUACUUGACUUGCAAACGAGCUCCUUGGCAAGUACCCAGCCACAGGAGGCUUGGAGACUUGACUGUAUAAAAAAGACUUUCAUUUCACCAAUUUGUGAACUGGCACAACUCCUGCCAUAGUCGUUUGGAGCUGCUCUCUGAUCCUUGCUCUCGAUUCUUGGAUAUAGAAGCUAUGUAGCCUGUUAGAUUUUACCAGAUUCCAAGCAAUGAAAAUUAAACAUUUAUUUUUUCAAUUUCCAUGUAAAUGCCUCGAAGGGCUCUCAAGCUCAUUUGUGCUCUUAUGUUUGAAAUUAAUCUUUUCUACCAUGUGAGAUUGGUAUAUUUUCCCUCACUUUGUAGGCCUUUCAAAAUGUUCACCUUUUAAAGAAAAAAUAAGGCAGCUUACUUUGUAUUUUUCCUGUGCAGUCUUCUUGUUCAUAAUGAGUUUAAAUAUAAGGAAUAUAAACCCAUCUGGAAAUAAAAAUUAUGCACUAGGUUCACUAAAAAAAAGUAAUUACAUUAUAAUCAAACUGUCACUUUAUGAGAUAGUGGGAGACAAAGCUGACAAAAGAAGAUGACGACUUGCUCUUUUAAAUAUCACCCAUGGCACAAAGCAGUUGAAGAAAACCUGAAUUACAUACAGCGUAAUCAGGAAAGCACUUGGAGCUGGGAAGGUAAAACUCAGCACUAGGACCAGGGGGACAGAUAGGCUUUCUCAUGGUGGAGUGGGGAACCUUCAGCCUUAUGCAGCCCAACACAUGUACAGGCUACUACUGUCAACAGACUGACAGCCCAAGGUUGUUUGGACACAGCGUGCAAAACACGGACCUGUGAUUAGGAAACACAUUGAAUUCAUAUGUUGUGUUUUGCACAGACCUCCAAUCUGCCACUGUGGCAGUUUUGAGUUCCUGUCCUUGUUCACCUUUCUCGAAGUAAAUGUGCCCCACCGAGCUGUCAGCCUGUAUUCAGCAGGGGCUGAUUCCUGUCUCAGGUCAGACAUGCAAGCCAACAGGGAAAAUCUGAAUGUGUAAGGAGUCAUCUUUGUUCACAUUUUGCUGUUUCUUGUGGUUCCUUCAACCUGCCUUAGUGUGAAUGGAAAUGCCUUGGUUUGAGGCACAAUUCAUGGUCCUGUGUAGCCACUGGGUAGACAGCAGCAUUCAGGUGGGAGUGUUCUUCAGACCGUUGUCAUAUGAGCUGUUGUUGAAUAAAGCCCUUUUUCCCUCCUGAGGUAUUUCUUUGAGAUUUGAAUCUGUUCCCUGUUUUCUGUCCUCUGUCAGCAGUGGAUCCUUUUCACCAGCAGUCCCAGCAAAGGUCUUUGCGCUGACACUCAAGAGCGGACUGGUGGCAAGUGGUGGGCAUGAAUGUGGGGCAUGGGAACAGAGAGAGGGGCUGGUGAUGUGAUUUUGGAUGCAGUCUUGUCUUUCCAGCAGGGAGCAGGGAGGUGACAGGUGGGUGACUGCAAGUUUAUUCUCAUGGAUGGACAGAAGAACCCAGGAGAACCCAGGAGAACCGUUCUUGCUGCCAGUAAUGCAUCUAAUGAAAGAGAAAUUUUUUCUCAUAAAGGGGCUUUCUUCUGGUAACUGAAAAAAGAUUCAGGAACAUGAAUGGAUUGAAAUUUGUGGGUUUGUAGUCUGAUUUUGUUUCUGUUCUAGAGAUAGAAGUGGUGACAUACUGGGAGGUCUAUGCUGAGGAAGUGUCACACCUGAUACCUUUAUUCAGUGUCUUGCUUUUCUCUUUUCAUGCUAUGAAUACAAUGACAGAACAGUGCAGCUUGCUGUGCCAGCCAAGCAUGGUAUUAUUUUCUAUAUGCAGUGGAUAAGACUUUCUUACCCUUUGUGUAUUCAUGACACAUAUCUAUCUGGCAGGAUACUGAGAGCCUCAGGAAAACAGAAGGUGGGGGAGCCCACUGGAGACUUCCCAAUACUACAGCUUGCUUUUUCAAAUUUAAAUCCCUAAUUUGUUUGAGUACAAUUAAUUUUUUUUCCUAAGAAAACUGGAAAGAUUUCAGUUCCAAGAACGUGAAUGUGAAGUGAAACUUCAUCAAAGAGAAAUAAUAACAAAACCUUGUCCAAAUGCCUACGUAGCUGUGUUUUGACAGAAAUAGCUUUUGUCAGAAAGAGCUUUUGACAGCAGCUCUCCCCAGAUAAAAGUAACAGUUUUAUAGCCACUGUUUUUAACUUCUGUCACCAAAUCUCAGCACAGGCAACCCCACUCAUGGACUGCCAAGGGUGGAUUACUGAUGAGCUGUAAAUUGUGUAUUGAAGGCCUAAUGGGCUUAAAUUACCAUCAUCCUCAUUUCACGUUACACUGCUGUUCCUGACAAUAUGGUUGGUUAAAAUGCCAUAGUCUUCUUUCCAUUAAAUUCAUGCUCCUAUAACCUCCUUUAUCAUGCAAGAUGUGUAAGAUAUUUCGAAUUCAGGGGAAAAGCAAAAAAAGCAAGCCUCAAACCAACCAACCAAAACACUCAGUAUUCUCAUGUCAAAAGAUGCAGGUAAGGCUUUGUUGGUUUUCACUGUGCAGAUACUUUCAUGAGGUCACUGUGGCCUGAUGGGUAUAACAAGGCUGUUUGGAACAGAAACUGCACCAAUCCCAGUCUUGGGCAAUCUCAGCUUUCCCUGUUUUUGUUCUGCUGCAAGGAGGAAGGCAGGAUGCUGGUUCAUGUCCGUGCUCACCUUGCUGCACACAGCAAGGCUCGCUGUUCAAGCCUUGAAUUUGCAGCAGAGCCACGGAUGGAAUUUGUGCUCCCUGGUGGAUUUGAAUCCUUAAGCAAGUUGGAGAAUUAACAUGUGCCACACAUAUUCAUUCCUUUUGGGGCCCAUUGCCUCUCUGGCUUUUUCUGCUCAUAUUCAAAUUAACCUGAACUUGCAACAGAUGCUGCAAAAAAGGCUCUUAAAUAGAUCAAAAUAGAUCUGAUGAUGCUCCUGGUUUUGGGGGGUUGGGAAUUUUUUGUUUGUUGGUUUUUUUGUUUUGUUUUGGGUGUUGGUUUGGGGUUUUUUUUGUUGGUUUGGGUUUUUGGGGGGUGUAUUUUGUUAGGUUUUUGUUUCAUUUUAAAAAAAAGCUGUUUAAACAGCUGGGGCUUGAGUUAUGUUGUAAGGAUCUGUUUUGUUAUGGGUAAACUUUGUUGCUUCUGCAGAGAAAUCUGAAUCGAAGACAAAUUAUAAACUUUUAGAUAACAAAUGAAACAUUUGAAUCUAGUAUUGCUUAACUCUAGCACAGAAUUAUGGAAGGCUUUUACUUCUGCUCCUAACCAUACGCAGAAGACAUUUUUUUCAAAGCUAGCAAGCAGCUAUGGAAAUGGUGUCAAAGACUUAGCAAUACAGUGUACUCUCUGGCUUUUGAUUUAGCCUAAACUAGUCAUCAUUAGAGUCUCAUAAACAACAACAUCUUUCUGCUACUGAACCUCCUUGCCCUAUGAAGAUCAUAGCAAUGCAAUAAUUUAGCUGAGAUAGAUGUGACACUGUAAGGCUAAACUAUGUUUUAUCUGCCUGCAGCAGCUGCUGCCUGGCAAUGUAAACACUGCAUGAUAAAGAGGAAAAAAACAAAUUUUCUAAAAAAUGAAGGCUUUGGGUUUUUUCGGAAGUGGAGUCAUGGAGGUGUGCAAAGACAAAAUGACCCACCUGGGCCUGGAGCAAUGUUCUUGAGAUGUAUCCCAGCUCUGGAUGAAAGUAGAUGACAUUGCUGACUCAUCUUAAUUAGAAAAUAAGAGUGGCAAAAUGACCAUAGGUAUCUAGGGAGUCUGCACACAAGUUAUGAAUUCUGGCCUGUCUCAAUGAAUUUGUUCUUACAUCUUGAUAAUGGUAUUAGUUUCUUUUCUUUCUUUUUUAUUAUUCACUCCUGCAACACCCCCUCUUGUGUUGAUUCCUUCAGUUUCUAUUCUGAGUGUAAAACAGACACCUAUGUAUGAGCUGGUCUGUUAAGAUCUUUUCAGGGCUUGCUGAUUUUUCCUGAUCCUGAAAGAAAGAGAGAUAUUAGAGCUUUGUAUUCCUUCUCUGCAAGGACCAGAGCACAAAGUCUCUGGCACCACAGCAUAAAGGACUAGACUUGCUUAAAAUGUACUAACAAAGCAGGGUUGCUUUCUAAGUAGCUGGAUGCAUUUUCUUCGUAAUUUUAUUGGAGGUGCUACAGGUCCCUCAACUAUCACCAAAGGUCUACACUUUUCAUGGUAACCAGGCUUGCAUGCACUAGCCUUUAGAAAGUUGAAACCUGCAUCCCUGUUUUUGAAAUGGCUGAGCAUCUCUGUCUCUUUGGAUCAUGUUGCUCUCCCCUUCUCAAUCCACCUCUAUAUUACUCUGAGACUGUUUUACUGUCCAUUGUCUUUGCAAGAGACCAGGUGAAGAGUGGUGAGGCUGGCAACUCACAUAGCUUCUUUUUGGUUUUUUUUUCUUCUUCAAGUAUGCUGAGACCGAGGAAAAUUAAUAUCACACUUCUUAUAAACCUGUCCUUAUGGCGGAUGCAGACCCUUCUAAAAGCAUGUCAAAACAACUUGUAUAAGUGUGGCAAUUUGCUAAAAUGUAAUAGAAUGGAAAACAGGACAAAAUCAUAUGAAGGCUUGCAGGAAAGGAGCUUUGGCUAUUUGCAGUCUCAAGACUUUAAAUAGAAUAUCAGCUCAGAGGUGUGUGACAAGUUUUGAUUGCAGAGAAAGCAAAGAGUGAAGUUUUAAGAAUCAAUCUCUGACGCAUUUUAAAAAUCCAUCUGUGUAGUGUCUUUGCCUGUAAGAAACCUGCCUUCCAUGUGAUCCCUGCUAUUCAAGAAAAGGUAGCAAGGAUUGUUGACCUGGAUGAAAUAAAUCACUGAUCUUAAUACAAUAUUGGAACGAAAUAUGCUCUAAAAUUUAACCUGUAUAGCCUUAAGACGCUUGGCAGGUUUCUCUUGUUCAAAUGAGAAGCUGCUGAUUUGCUUGCUUAUAUUUCUGCUGUAAUUAUCCUUAUCUUCGUAAAAACACAUCAUUCCAGUUUUCACUCUGUAGGUUAAAGCCAGAAUGGCUAAUUUUAAUAAAUAAGGAUUUUAUCCUGAUUAUAAA